rnacentral:lncRNA from 1 species
UCGUUGAGAAUACUCGUUCGUGCCGGUGUGAAUCAGACUACUGAGAACAAAAGGACAUUGGCGGGAUGAGAGGGAUGACUCAGUACAAAUGGGGAGGGGAUGCUGGCUCGUCGAGCAGCUCAACCCUUUCCAGUGUAGAGGUGCCUCAUGGGAGCCUCAGUAGUCUCCCACCCUGCAUCGUCAUUGACAAAUUCUGAAGAAUGCACAAGGGUUUGCAGCGAUCCGAUCCAGGUACAUCCCGCUUGCUUUAAUCUGGCUUGAGUUAACCGUGGUGUUGAUGUUACUAACUGAACUAAUGGUGGUCCAAUGCAGGCAGAGGAGGAGUCUGAAGCAUCAGUUAACCAGGGAGAUGAGCCCGUGAUACAUGAGAACUCAGAAAUCUCCACGGUGUCUCUGCAGGUGUCCAUGGUAAGCCAGCGAUUGUUAGUGAAGAAUCUCGUGUACAUGCAUGUUUACUGUACUAGCAUUUUAUCAGGUGAGUGGGGAUGCUGAACUGCGGAAGGAAUAACAGCCCGCCGAGCAGAUGAUGGAGCAAGGGAUUCAUGGGUGUCCAGAUGCAGAGGAAGGGUUCGGAGAGCAUGAUCCUGCUGCUAAUCAAGUGGAGCUGGAGCAGGAGGAAUCCCUGAAGCUGAUGUUAACAGCGGAUAGCGAUGUGGAGGAAAGCAAUCGCCAUAGCGCCAAACGUGCUAGAAAGAAUUUCUAAUUAGAAGUGUAGUUCGUUGUUAGUACAGUCAGAUUAGGCAAAGAUGCCUUUGCCUUGUUGCUGACAUGUGUACUCAGUAAUUAGUUUGAGUGUGUUGAGUAGAUCUCUAGGUUUGUAAGUGGUUCAUCGGUGGAGUAGUGAACUCUGUACUGUAAUGCAAAGGAGUGUCUGCUGUUGUCAACAAGUAUAAAUCAACGUGUCUAAGCGAGGCUUAUUUGUGUGACAUGCAUCUCCAUUACCAAUAACGGCUCCUUUGGUCCAGGUCCCGUAACUAAAUGGCUCACCAGGUCCACUCCCGUCCGCCACCGCAUUAACUGACGGCGCUUUCUGAG